GAUGAACGCUGGCGGCGUGCCUAAUACAUGCAAGUCGAGCGAACAGACGAGGAGCUUGCUCCUCUGACGUUAGCGGCGGACGGGUGAGUAACACGUGGAUAACCUACCUAUAAGACUGGGAUAACUUCGGGAAACCGGAGCUAAUACCGGAUAAUAUAUUGAACCGCAUGGUUCAAUAGUGAAAGACGGUUUUGCUGUCACUUAUAGAUGGAUCCGCGCCGCAUUAGCUAGUUGGUAAGGUAACGGCUUACCAAGGCAACGAUGCGUAGCCGACCUGAGAGGGUGAUCGGCCACACUGGAACUGAGACACGGUCCAGACGCCGACGGGAGGCAGCAGGAGGGAAUCUUCCGCAAGGGGCGAAAGCCUGACGGAGCAACGCCGCGUGAGUGAUGAAGGUCUGCGGAUCGUAAAACUCUGUUAUUAGGGAAGAACAAAUGUGUAAGUAACUAUGCACGUCUGGACGGUACCUAAGCAGAAAGCCACGGCUAACUACGU
rnacentral:rRNA from 1 species